GCGGGAGCAGCGACCACCCGGCGGUCUCACGCUGUUCUUCCACGGGAAGCAGAAAUACGCUUGAGAGAAAAGAAACAGUUUCUUUUUGACAAAUGCAUGUCUUUGUACAGAAGUCUUUUCUGCAUCUCUCGUUAUACCCUUUAGACAUUUCCGAGUGGAUUUUCUGGAAGGGGUGUGCUAACUUACACCCCGUGGGAGCAUUAGCUCUUAAUACCGUUUGUGAAGGUUCUCUUAGUCUUUAAGUUAAAAACAUUUAUUUAUGUUAUUUAUUUGGCUGUUCCGGGUCUUAGUUGCGGCAUGCAGUAUCUUUAGUUGCGAUGUGCGGGAUCUAGUUCCCUGACCAGGGAUCAAACCCAGGCCUCCUGCAUUGGGAGCGCGGAGUCUUACGCACUGGACCGCCAGGGAAGUCCCUCAUUUCUGUAUUUUGAAUAAAUAUACGACGUGAUGUUUCCUGUGGGCUUUUCCUUCAUUCCAGGCUCAAAGGCUUGGCCGGAGGUUGUUAAGAUCUACACGUUCCAUUCAGGGAGCCUGGGGACACCCGGGCUUCCUGAGGCGUGCAGGGCGGCGGCCCAGUUGCCACCAGUCAGCCCUCCAGACCCUCUCACUCCUGGCAGCAGAGACUUCUUCACUGGACGGACGUCGGCUCAGCCAGAGCUGUUGCCCGUCGGGAACCCUGUGUCACCCCAGUGGGAGAAGGAAAGCUGGGGACAGGUGAAGGUUCAGGGCGGGAAGGGGAGCAGCCCCCAGCUGGCCUUGGGGCCAACCCCUCCCUUGGGUGGAGUCGAGGCCGUGGGUGACAAGCGGACCCCAGGAAGCCAGCUCGAGAAGAGAUGCCAGGAAGGAGGAAAAAGGGGGCUGGUGCACUCCUCCUCGACUCCCACUUCAGGCACUAAGCACUUACGCAGAUGCAUCAGAAGUCACGGCAUCUGCCCAGAACGUCUCUAGGGACUGGCUACCCAGUGGGAAGCGGUAGUGUGAUUUUGGACAAAGUUCUUGGAGGUUUUCUGAUGUUCACGACUGACCUUUGCUGACUGUCCUUCACUUCUCCACCUGAGACCUUGUUCCGCAUCCUGGUUGGUCUGGAAGGGCUUUGGUGUCGCACUGCUGAGGCCUCCAUUUACUGGCUGGCAGCCCCCUGAGUUCACGUGAGGAGUGGAGUUCUGA